rnacentral:rRNA from 1 species
GAUGAACGCUGGCGGCGCGCCUAACACAUGCAAGUCGAACGAUUAAAGCACCUUCGUGUGUGUAUAAAGUGGCGAACGGCUGAGUAACACGUGGGCCACCUGCCCCUUUCAUUGGGAUAGCCACGGGAAACCGUGGAUAAUCCCGAAUACUUCGAGACUUCCGCAUGGAAGACUCGAGCAAUCUCCGGCGGAGGGGGAUGGGCCCGCGGCCUGUUAGCUUGUUGGUGGGGUAACGGCCUACCAAGGGAAUGACGGGUAGCUGAGUUGAGGGACCGAACAGCCAGAGUGGGACUGAGACACGGCCCAGACUGCUACGGGAGGCAGCAGUGGGGAAUCUUGCACAAUGGGCGAAAGCCUGAUGCGGCGACGCCGCGUGCGGGAUGAAGGCCUUCGGGUUGUAAACCGCUUUCAGCAGGGACGAGGCGAAAGUGACGGUACCUGCAGAAGAAGCCCCGGCUAACUACGUG